CCUACGUUCUUCCGCCGUUCUUACUAUUGGUCCAUGGCCGUAAGGCUGAACCAGCCAAGUAGCGUGAGGGAAGACUGCCCUAUGGGUUGUAAACCUCUUUUAUGCGGGGAUAAAGGUGUCCACGUGUGGAUGUUUGCAGGUACCGCAUGAAUAAGGACCGGCUAAUUCCGUGCCAGCAGCCGCGGUAAUACGGAAGGUCCGGGCGUUAUCCGGAUUUAUUGGGUUUAAAGGGAGCGUAGGCCGGUCUUUAAGCGUGCCGUGAAAUUUUGUGGCUCAACCAUGAGAGUGCGGCGCGAACUGUAGACCUUGAGUGCGCGGAAAGCAUGCGGAAUUCGUGGUGUAGCGGUGAAAUGCUUAGAUAUCACGAAGAACCCCGAUUGCGAAGGCAGCCUGCCGCAGCGUUACUGACGCUGAAGCUCGAAAGCGCGGGUAUCGAACAGGAUUAGAUACCCUGGUAGUC
rnacentral:rRNA from 1 species